AGUGUACUUUGAAAAAGGACUGCCCUGCCCACCUGAUUAAAUUUAACGGCCGCGGUAUCCUAACCGUGCAAAGGUAGCAUAAUAAAUUGUCCCUUAAAUGAGGACUAGUAUGAACGGCACCACCAGAGUUUAACUGUCUCCCCCUUUUAAUCAAUGAAAUUAAUCUUCCCGUGAAGAAACGGAAAUACAAGUAUAAGACGAGAAGACCCUAUGGAGCUUUAAACUUAAUAUCACUUAUUUAUAUUUAUAGCAACCCAUUUAACAAGAGUGUCCUUAUAGUUUUAGGUUGGGGCGACCCUGGAGAAAAAUAAAUCCUCCAGAUUGAAAGGGUAUUAAUCCUUAUAUUAGAAUUACAAUUCAAAUAAACAAAAAUUUGACAAAACUGACCCAGAAUUAACUGAUCAGUGAACCAAGUUACCCUAGGGAUAACAGCGCUAUCCAUUUCAAGAGCCCAUAUCGACAAAUGGGUUUACGACCUCGAUGUUGGAUUAGGGUAUCCGAGCAGCGCAGCAGUUGCUAAUGGUUCGUUUGUUCAACGAUUAAUACCCCACGUGAUCUGAGUUCAGACCGG
rnacentral:rRNA from 1 species